ACUCCUACGGGAGGCAGCAGUGGGGAAUAUUGCACAAUGGGGGAAACCCUGAUGCAGCCAUGCCGCGUGUGUGAAGAAGGCCUUCGGGUUGUAAAGCACUUUCAGUAGGGAGGAAGGUAGUGUAGUUAACACCUGCAUUAUUUGACGUUACCUACAGAAGAAGCACCGGCUAACUCCGUGCCAGCAGCCGCGGUAAUACGGAGGGUGCGAGCGUUAAUCGGAAUUACUGGGCGUAAAGCGCAUGCAGGCGGCCUGUUAAGUCAGAUGUGAAAGCCCGGGGCUUAACCUCGGAAUUGCAUUUGAAACUGGCAGGCUAGAGUCUUGUAGAGGGGUUAGAAUUUCGAGGUGUAGCGGUGAAAUGCGUAGAGAUCUGAAGGAAUACCAGUGGCGAAGGCGGCCCCGUGGACAAAGACUGACGCUCAGACUGCGAAAGCGUGGGAGCAAACAGGAUUAGA
rnacentral:rRNA from 1 species